rnacentral:tRNA from 1 species
AAUACUACGCCGGAUGAACGGAAUUCAUUGAUGUUGAAUAAUAUGGGAUGCCAUAAUCUCUAGUAUUA